rnacentral:tRNA from 1 species
GGUGCUGUACUUUAUAGAAAAGGUUCGUUUUGCAUGCGAAAAUAGAGUUUUUUAGCUCCUGGGCCA